GAUGAAGAACGUAGCGAAAUGCGAUAAGUAGUGUGAAUUGCAGAAUUCAGUGAAUCAUCGAAUCUUUGAACGCACAUUGCGCCCCUUGGUAUUCCAUGGGGCAUGCCUGUUCGAGCGUCAUUUCAACCAUCAAGCCCCCGGGCUUGUGUUGGGGACCUGCGGCUGCCGCAGGCCCUGAAAAGCAGUGGCGGGCUCGCUGUCACACCGAGCGUAGUAGCAUACAUCUCGCUCUGGGCGUGCUGCGGGUUCCGGCCGUUAAACCACCUUUUAACCCAAGGUUGACCUCGGAUCAGGUAGGAAGACCCGCUGAACUUAAGCAUAUCAAUAAGCGGAGGA
rnacentral:misc_RNA from 1 species